GAUGAAGAACGUAGCGAAAUGCGAUAAGUAAUGUGAAUUGCAGAAUUCAGUGAAUCAUCGAAUCUUUGAACGCACCUUGCGCUCCUUGGUAUUCCGAGGAGCAUGCCUGUUUGAGUGUCAUUAAUAUAUCAACCUCUUCAGCUUAUGCUUGUUGAGUGUUGGAUGGUGGGGGUUUGCUGGUGUCUUAUGAAGUCAGCUCCUCUGAAAUGCAUUAGCGGAACAAUUUGUUGACCGUUCAUUGGUGUGAUAAAAAUAUCUACGCUAUUGACGUCAGUCAGUUCAGCUUCUAACAGUCCAUUGACUUGGACAAAUUUUUCAUUAAUGUGACCUCAAAUCAGGUAGGACUACCCGCUGAACUUAAGCAUAUCAAUAGGCGGAGGA
rnacentral:misc_RNA from 1 species